UACGGGGGGAGCAAGCGUUGUUCGGAUUUACUGGGCGUAAAGGGCGCGUAGGCGGCCACCGCAAGUCACUUGUGAAAUCUCCGGGCUUAACCCGGAAAGGUCAACUGAUACUGCGGGGCUAGAGUGCAGAAGGGGCAACUGGAAUUCUCGGUGUAGCGGUGAAAUGCGUAGAUAUCGAGAGGAACACCUGCGGCGAAGGCGGGUUGCUGGGCUGACACUGACGCUGAGGCGCGAAAGCCAGGGGAGCGAACGGGG
rnacentral:rRNA from 1 species